CAGUUUUGUGUGGUUUCACUCACAGAUAUCCUGUGGGGGUUUUUUUCCGUAAAGAUUUUUUCGUCGUUCUAUUUUUUGCACAACAUUUUAUCCUUGACAGAUAAGGAUAUAUUUAAUGUGCUAGUACUAAGUGGAGCGAGAAAAUUCACAAGGACGAUAGGAGGAGAAACAGUGGAGUUCGUGCGUGGGUUUACGAUGGAAAAUCUGCUCCUGUCAUCGAUUUUGACAAGCAGUAUAUUUAGUGGCAUGAUCCUAUGUCGUCCUGUUGCUUAACUGGGUGUCUGACCCUCAUCUUAUCAAGGAUAUUAAAUGGCGCUAGGAAUGGAAUGUUGCCAAGUCAAUUUUGUUCAGAAAUUAUCAAACGACCAUUUCCAUUCCAACAUCCUUAAUUACUUAAAAAGGAGCGAAUGCACAUAGGAAAUUCUUGACACAAAUCACUAUUAACACAUACGAGUAUCAAAAAUCCAGCAAACGUCCAAUGGUCAUCCACCCCGAGGCGCAAGGAUGACCUGCCACCAGAAAAUUACAAAUUGAAAAGGGAAACCUGACAUAUCUUUUCAGAUGUCCAAUGAUAUCAUGUUUCUGACAUAAAUGGACACAUAACGACAUACCCGAGAAAAUGUUAGUUGAUGUCCUUUUGCCCCGACAUUUUGUUGUGAUUUAUUGUCGGAACGGGAAGUGAAGAAUGUUAUAUAUGGGUUUCCGACACAGUUAAGGGUGCUUCAGUCGGGAAGGAUGCAAGUAGCGGAAUAGAGAGCCAGGUGCAUAUAAAAUGUGAAAUAGGACUCAAAUAGGAUAGUGCACGACAAAGGAUGCAAGUGAUUAAUCAUACAUUGUAUUGCAUAUGCUGGAACUGCGGAAGGACUCUUUAAAUGUUCGCUGGUCAUCUCCGAAUGGGAUGAUGAAGGACAACUAUCGAAGUGACCAGCUAUUUCUGGAUAAAAAGGAGCCUGACUUGAAAACAGUCGUUUAUACUGAUUAGUUUGA